GAUGAACGCUGGCGGCGUGCCUAAUACAUGCAAGUCGAGCGAACAGACGAGGAGCUUGCUCCUCUGACGUUAGCGGCGGACGGGUGAGUAACACGUGGAUAACCUACCUAUAAGACUGGGAUAACUUCGGGAAACCGGAGCUAAUACCGGAUAAUAUAUUGAACCGCAUGGUUCAAUAGUGAAAGACGGUUUUGCUGUCACUUAUAGAUGGAUCCGCGCCGCAUUAGCUAGUUGGUAAGGUAACGGCUUACCAAGGCAACGAUGCGUAGCCGACCUGAGAGGGGGAUCGGCCACACGGGAACUGAGAACCGGUCCAGACUCCUACGGGAGGCAGAAGUAGGGAAUCUUCCGCAAUGGGCGAAAGCUUGACGGAGCAACGCCGGGGGAGUGAUGAAGGUCUUCGGAUCGUAAAACUCUGUUAUUAGGGAAGAACAAAUGUGUAAGUAACUAUGCACGUCUUGACGGUACCUAAUCAGAAAGCCACGGCUAACUACGU
rnacentral:rRNA from 1 species